GGGGCGGUACUGACAGGACAGGGUCGGAAGGGGACUCCUGGCAGGGAGCUGAGCGCCUGGAGCUGGGGUGCGGGCACUGGAGCAGCGGCUCUCCGCACUAACUCUCCUCGCCUCGUCAGCGGGUCCCCUGCCUCAGAGCCCGGCAACUUGCGGCCGUCGCCCGUGCAGCCUGAGUGCCCCUUGUCUCCCCUGCACGUGUCGCGCCCCGCGCGCCCCGUCUGGCCGCCGCGAUGAGCGAGCUUAACACCAAAACAUCCCCAGCAACCAACCAGGCAGCUGACCCAGAGGAAAAGGGGAGAGCUGGCAAUGCCAAGAAGGCUGAGGAGGAGGAGGAGAUUGACAUUGAUCUGACGGCACCAGAAACAGAGAAGGCUGCCCUUGCUAUUCAGGGCAAGUUCCGGCGAUUCCAGAAAAAGAAAAAGGAUUCCAGUUCCUGAAUAACCAGCCUUACCCUUCACCUUACUCCCUUCCCUCCCCUUCUCCACAGCUCUGACUCCCGUGUAUCUUUGUCUCUUUGUCCCUCAAGCUUCUUGUUGAGGCAAGUUCAACACUUCUACAUUAUUUUCUCUGGCCUCUCAACCCAUCGCAGCCGCAGAGGCACAAGGAACACAGGGAAGAUGAAGAAUUCAACAGGCAGCCACUUGCUUAAGGGUGGAACAUUUUCUCCUUGGGAUACAGCUUCUUGACCAGUACCUGUGCCUGCCCUAUGAGGCUGAAGAGCAAGAGGAUUUGAGGUUGAGAGAGGGACCCCUGACAAUGUGGGAGGGAGGGAAAAGCCUUCAGAGUAGGGUGCCCGAGGGUGGGGCAUAUGCCCUGUUCCACUGGUUACAACAUUCACACUUCAGGUAGCAUUUUUUACCUUCCCAUCCUUCUCAUCAGAACCUCAACUUCCCUCCUAUGAGCUAAGCCACAGUGGGGACUGGAGCCUCCCUUUCCCCUGGGCAGACCUAAAUCAAACUGCUCCCAUGUUAGUGCAUGCUCAGUAGAUUAGGUCCAAGGAAGGGAGACUGGGACUGGUAGAGAGACAAGGGAAAGUUUCCUUCAUCGUCUAGUCUAGAACCGUAAGGGGCAGAAGUGGAAGAGGUUCAAGGGGCCACAGGCAGGGAAAUGGGAAGAUUUGGGAAGGAAAUCGCCAGUUGAUUUGGGAAGAAAAGAAAAGUGAAGGAGGAGGAGAUCUCUAAGGACACAAGUUACUGCUGGUAAAGAUGUACCAUAUGAAGGAUUCUUGGGGCUUUUUUAACCUGCCUACCUCUAACCCCUCAUGCCUAGCCACCCCCAGAGGCCACAAAAACCAAGUGACCCUUGUAGUUCCUACCUGCCCCACUGUGGAGUCAGAGCAGAAGUGGAACAGCCACUCUAUGUGAUUUUAGCAUGUUUAAUAAUUAUGAAAACAAUAAACAAAAUCCUCAAGUGGGGCCUUUUGACCUCUACUUCUGUUUUUUCUUGGGAGGAAUAUGAAUAUAAGCCUGAGCUGGCCUCAGGGAGGGUGGUAGAGCAACUGCACGGAUUACAUGAUGGCUCAGGAAACUAACACAGACCGAAGCCCUCUCCUACCUUCCUUCCCUGACCUUGUGCUCACCUUGAUUCACCACCCACAUUGUCUCUACCUGCUGCUAUUUCCACCCCCGAUGCUGUUCAUCUCCUUCUCUUUCCCCUUCCAGCGAGCACACGCUUGGUGGAUCUGCCUCUGAAAACAAACCCCAUCUUCCCUUCCUCCCUCUCCCCGAAUGACCUGUGUUAGCUGUCCCUCCUGCUUUGUCUUCCUCCCACGACCCUCCUCCCCUCCCACUGUUUUAUCAAACAGGAGAAGAAGCAGAUGACUCUGGGUCAAUAGAGAGCACCACUGUCACACUGAAGAUUUUAAACCAUGAAUAAAAUGAUGGCUUACAUUGCU
ensembl:lncRNA